GGCAUCCCCCGAGGACUUGGUGCGAAGAGGAAGCGAGGUGGAGCUCCGUACUGGACCGCAGCUGCUCUUUACUUCUGGCCGUGUGAGCUCGCCGCGGAGAAAAGCACGUGCUUCCCUCACACUAUCUCGUACUUUGGGAGUCAUAAAAACUAGCUGCAGCAUUCCGUGCAUCAGAUGAACUGGGUUUAAAAGCAGCUUCUAAUGGCUUGUGUACAGGAAUUUCCUACCUGUUUCAUACUGCUUUUACGUAAGAAUAGCUUCCACAUGAGGAUGCAUGACAGAGAAAGGCUAAACAGAACAAUGGAAGUAGUAAACAGAAAAAGAAAAAUAUGCAGACAAGUUGGAAAGAUAAUUGGGAACAGGUGCCAAAUAAAUAUACAGUUCUUCACAGACAUGAGAUUUUGAUAUGAUUUUCUUCCCUAAAUGGGAGAAAACCUGUCAACAAGGAACACUACCAGAAGCCAAGUGAGUCUGAAUUCAGAUUGUAGUUAUUGAAACAGAAGUAUUUUUUGAAGUGUCAGGCUGUCGAUGUUUCUAUUUUUGUAGACUCUGCUCUUGCUUGAGAUAAGCGUAUACAAGAAGAUAAUGAAGUCUGGAGAAGAGUACUUAGUGUUUGAAGACAGUUUUGAGCUGAAUUUGCUGAUCCAAAGCUAAAAUGAUUUGAGUCAGCAUAGGUUUAGGCAAAUCACAUCUAGCAAAGAGCAACACAAACAUUGCUUAGAAAAUAGUGCAAGCUGAGCUGUGUCGUUUAAGGUACUUCUUUACAAAUUGCACAGGACAAUCAGGAGUAGUAUCAAACUGCAAUCUUUUGCCAAAAUAGCACCAUUGCAUGGUGUGCCUACAUCCAUUCACGUUGCCUUGAAUCAGCACAGCUGCGAAUGCUUGGCAAGAGCACUGGCAUGUCACUCCUGCAUGCAUACAUGCACCAUGUGGAAAAGGAUAAAAGGUGUCCAGGAUAUCAGUACAGGUGAUCCUUCCCUACGUUCAUAUACAUUUAGUGAUUUUCCUCUCCCCACACCUAAUAUGAGUACGGUGAAACAUCAGCACUAGUUCUUUUGAUCUCCCAGGCCAGCUCAGGGUUUUGGGGCUUGAAACUAACAAAAUUUUCUUUCUAACUCAAGGAAUGCAGGAUUUUUGGACACAUACACGCACAGCAAGCAAACAAAAACAACAACAACAACAAAAAACCAAGAAUAAAUAAAUCUAUGCUUUGCAAGGCUCACAGGGGACCUAACAUCCAGGAACAGCUUUCCAGUUGAUGACUUCCUGCCUCUGUGAAAGAAAUCUGAACAAAAUGUCCUCUAUCAAAUCUUUGUUUAGGGUCCAACUAGUACUUUUCCAGAAGUCCUGAAAAGCUUUUCUACAUCCUUGAAAUUUUCUUAAUCAUUUUUCCUUCUUCAAAAUGCUUAGUCAAAUAAUCUCUUAUGCCCACACAAUCUGAAUUGUUAAAAAUGUCCUAUUCACCUUUUUUUUAAAUUUGUUUGUAUUAUGCACUUUUUUCUCUGUUGUAGAUCUUUGAAAUUCACUAUUUAAAAUGAAAUCCAGCUCUUCCAAAGAAACCCAUCCCACUCUGUCCUUCCAGAGACCUUCUCACUUCAGACAAAAGUGUAUUUUCUUUUGUAUUUCUAAACAUUAGCACAUCUUCCCUUAAAAGCAACAAAAAAGAACAUGGGUUGAUGUUCAAAUUCACGCAAUCCCUCUUGCCGCAGCUGGGAACUCUCCAGUACUUAAAAGUCUCAAGACAUCUUACUUGUUCCUAUUCUUAACGUUUCUACUGAUACCAGGUGGCUGUUCUUUCCAAUAAGCAAUUAUGUUCCUUUGAAGCAACGGCAUUUCUCUGUGGGAAUCAGGGAACAAUAAAUCAGGAAAAAAAACCAAACAAACAGGUCACAAGCUGUACUCAGCCUCACAGGGUGGAGAACAAGCCAUUAUGAAGGACAGAAAAUGGGCAUUGGACUGACUCUGUCAUUCUCUUAUGAAUAAAGAUUUUGCUUUGCUUCAGUAAAACAGCAUUUUGUAACAUAUUUAAAAUUAAAGGCCAUGAAUUGUUCUAUAAA